rfam:Geobacter uraniireducens Rf4, complete genome.
CACGAUAAAGCCGAACCCUCCGCAAGAAGGGGGCGGAAAGUCGCGGGUCUUCGCAGUGGAAGACGGCCGGACUGCCGAAG